rnacentral:rRNA from 1 species
CAGUCGCCGCGGUAAUACGUAGGUGGAAAGCGUUGUCCGGAAUUAUUGGGCGUAAAGCGACUGUAGGUGGCUUUUCAAGUCCGCCGUCAAAUCCCAGGGCUCAACCGUGGACAGGCGGUGGAAACUACCAAGCUGGAGUAUGGUAGGGGCAGAGGGAAUUUCCGGUGGAGCGGUGAAAUGCGUUGAGAUCGGAAAGAACACCAACAGCGAAAUCACUCUGCUAGGCCGACACUGACACUGAGAGACGAAAUCUAGGGGAGCAAAUGGGAUUAGAUACCCGUGUAGUCCCUGUCUCUUAUAC